GCCGGCAUGGCGCAACUGGUAGCGCACCCGACUUGUAAUCGGGCGGUUCUCGGUUCGAGUCCGAGUGUCGGCUCC
rnacentral:tRNA from 1 species